GUUACAGAAGCUUGUGCUUUCGACCUUCACUAUCCUUCGUUCUGUUUUUCAAGUCAGCUUUUGUAUUCGUAAAUUUCUGAAAAUUCUCUUUUCUUCAAUUUUGCAGAAGUUUAAUUUCGCAGGCUGCAAACUACAAAUUAGAACGAACGAAAGGUACUAGAAGAAAAAUUUAUCCAGAAGAAUUUGAAGCGAAACACGUACGUAUUGGGAUUGACGAAAUUAAGUAUAUACAAAUGGAAUUAUAAAUGACUUUGAUAGUAUCCGAAUGUUUAUUUCCAAUAAAUAAAUAACAGAUUCUCUUUUGGACGUUUUUCGAUAAUUGUUGAAAUUUUGAAGUAAAAAGGUUUCUUUGCAGCAAACACUCUACGUAUUUAAUAUCAAAUUUCAUGAAAAUUACAGUUCUUCAGCUCUGUCCACAGGUUUAACAGCGUGUACUUCGUUCUUCUGAUGUCUGAUAUAAUGCGAUGUUUUAUAACAAUAUUUUACAAUAAUAUUAGGUUGCCCGAAAAAGUGUCUUUCUUUCGUAAACGUGUUUUUUACAACAGUGCACCUUCAUGUAAACGUGAAACCAAGUCUGUGAAAUGUCGCGGUGUUUAUCUCAACGUAACAAAAUGGAUCGUACGUAAUUCGACAAAAACAAAAAACGAUGUGCGUCUAUUAUUUGCUCAUAAAUCGAAAGAAACUUCUAAUACAAUCUAAUACAUAGUAUCAAGUACAUAAAGUUGAAAUUAAAAACGCUAUUUACGUUAUUAAUCUACAUCCAUUUGGUGUCAUUAACCACGUGAAUACAUUCUCUAUAUUCGAUAUGGUAAACUGUAACAACUCAAAAAACCCUUCGUCUAAAUUUGAACAUUGUAACAAACUUUAAUCAAUACCAGUUUUCCAGAUGGUUGAUCGCUAAUCAUCAAAAGAAUCCAUUGCCUUUAUCGAGCCGUAUUGCAGUCAAUUUGACGUAAUAUCAUUGAAAAGCAUCUGCGUUCGUAAUGAGCAAUGAAGUUCGCGACUCAAAUCAUGAAUAUGUUAUCUGCAACUUUGUGCGAGCGUAUUAUCUUCUGUUCGACAAAAAUUGUCACCUAAUGAGCAUUGUUUGAAUUUUGACAAGCAGCGAAAAGCUCAUUGAAAAUGUAUGUAGGUCGACUAGGUACGUACGGUGCAUCGUACGCGAACCGAUAAACGUCGACAGGAAAACAUUUGCUGAACUUUUCGUACGAAAAAUGUAACAUCAGCUCGUAACGAAUGAAAUACGUACUUUCGAGAUUAAUGAAAUUAUUCUUAAACGAACAUUGUUUUUGUAAAAAAAAUGAUAUCAGAAUUUACAAAAUCAACGUAAUAAGAGAUAUUGUAUGUAAUUUAUAAACAAUGGAACGGGGGAGAAGAAUUAUUAAAAGCAUAAAAUAAUUAUCUAUUGCUAAGAACGAAAGAAAGAAAAUAAUUUGAAAAUUAUUAAUGGUUGUCAGAAUUUCUCUCACAUUUUGUGUCAAGGUUCACGUAAUAACUGUUUGUGAUUAUGUUAAACAUGCAACCAUGUUUUUUAGUAUAGUUACGUAAUAACAAGUUUUGGUUGCAACACUUUUUCUUAUAGUGUCCAUGUUAAUGAUUGAAAAUCACGUAACUCUUCGAAUAUGAUUAUUCAACACGUAUUCCAAAUAAAUUGCAAAAUCUAUCGUUAUUUAUUUUUAAUAUAUUUUUUUAUUAUUCGAUCGUUAUUGAAAUUUCGUAUCCCGUAAAAAAUUCACUCGAAAUCCAUCAUUGAAGGAAAAUUAUGCUCCGAUAUGUACACAGGUAUCAAUAAUUUGUGUUAUUGAUUUUCCUAUUUGGAAUAGCACCUGGUUGUAUCAUAUGAAUUCGCACAAGUGACACUGAAAAAAACAUUAUUAUGUUGAAUAUUGACAAGCAUCGUUUUAUCAGUCGUAUCGGUGCAAAGGUGAUAAACGUAUUUAUCAUUUCUGCAAGAAGGGAAGGUCUUUGAAUAGGAAUUUACGUCAAGCAAACUAAAUGCACGUGGGCAAAUAUAAAUGUGUUUGAAAUUCAUGAUAGAUUACCUUCAAACGUGAAGCGAGCAAACAUAAAUAAAAUAAGUGCACGGCUUGAUAAACGGAGAAAAAUGUACAAGUAAAAUAUAAACAAACGUCGUACUAUCGACUGCUUAUAUUUUUAUCAUAAAUUAUUUUAUUAUUAUUAUUCGUAACAUGUAUUGCAUCGAUAUACGAAACGUACAUAUCAUAUAGUAAUUCAUGCAAUUUAUUCUGCGGUAAUCAAUACGUAAAUAUAUUCUCAAAGUGAUUGAUGACGUACAGGAGUUUGUGGAAAGAUUCAAACGUUUGAUAGAAACCUAUGAAAUCGGAUUUUCCACAAAGAGAAAAUUUAUACCAAUCGAAGUAUACGAUUCAAAAUUAUUUCGUACUACGUACUAUAAAAAUUAUUUAAUCAAUCUUUGAUCUUUAUAUCACACACUCGAUUUUACACGUUUGAUUUAAAAUACAAUUUAAUUAAUGAAAUGUUGCGAAACGAUUUAAUUAAUACACUUCUUCAUUGUGAAAACAGUGGAAAACUAUAUUUAUAUAUAGUAAAAGAAAGGAACAUUACGUAUUUAUUAUCUGCACAAGCAGUUCUUAUCGUUAGUAUCUCUCUUACCUCUGGUUAGUAGAUACUCGUAUUUCUGCUUCUACGAAUGGAAGUAAGAUUUCAUUCUAAAUAGAAACCGUAUAAUGAGGGAAAAUACGAAUGAACAGGCGAGACGAUAAAAGUUACGUAAAACUUCAUACAGUUUUAAAGUUUCGAAGGAAACUUCUUUUUUCUCAUCCUUAACGUUUCACACGUGGCAUGAUUUAACCUUUAAUAUUUAUGGUGUUGCGCUUGCAAGAUCAGCAACCAUCUGUUACUCCAGUCUCCUUAUCACGCUCUCAUUAAAUUUAUAUAUGCAUACACAGAUGUUACACAAUGAACGAGACGUUUUACCGUUACCGGUCGUGAUACGAAACAAUAGCGAAUGUCCUUGCUGAUAGCUCACUCUGACCGAAACCGCAUCUGGAAACUGAUUAACUAUCGCUUGCGUAAUAUCUUUCACAUGUUUAAUGAUUUCCAUUUAUUCAGAACGUAAUGAUGCUAAUAGUAGCACACGUUACGAAUCGCAGGGAGUUUAUGAUAUAGAGAAAAAGAAAACAAUAAUUAAGAAUAUAUAUUCGAUAUCUGUAGAAAAUGUUGUUGCCUUAAAUGUAAAGACAUUUUGUUGCAAAGAUAAACGAUAACAAAUUUUCUACUUUGCUGUUAAAUUUGUUCCAUAAGGAAGGGGAUGUGUAACAGAAUUUUGGAAAUUUCAUACAUCGGAGAAAAUGAUCUUUCCUUUAAAUCUGUAUCUGUAUGGAAUCGUUUAUAGAAAAUAGAAAUUCUUAAACGCUGUCCUUUUUUUCUUUUCUUUAUUAUCGUCCUGUGUAUCUUUUGAUAGAUCAGUCGAGUGAGGUUUGUUUGAAAAUCGUGAUGCCACAAAGAAGAUAGAGCACUUUCAGAACGCGAAAGUAGAUCAUCGAUCGUGUCAACAUCUCCAUCGAAAGUUGGAUGCCGCAAGAAUUUGAAAUUACGCAGACAGCAGGAAUUGCGGGGGUGGAAGCGGAUGUAAUAUCGAGCAACAAGCACGCCAAGGUUCUCGGAGUAUGAGCGAUGUAAUUUGACCAAUGCUUCGAUCGACGCUUCCUUUGUCCGAGCAUCUCGAAAUUGUUCAACUAUCAAUACCACAUCAUAUGGCAAUAAAAUGAAAUUAAUAGAUAGAAGACGAAAUAAAGUAAACCAUUUUCGUGUUAAUAACAAUAAAAUAUCGCCUUAAUUUGACCAGUAAAAUUAAAUGAAAUUUGUUCAGGCAUAGACAAUGUAAAUUAAAACGCAUAAGGCAGUACUAAACGCUAUUUUAAAAUGUACUAACAAUAAAUGUUUCAUUUAUAGAAUAUUCGUAUAGAUCAAGUGGUGCUAUACGUCGUUGAUCGAUACGAAUGAACGAAACGUUCGUCGUUCACCUUCAACGUUACGUCAAACGUAUUUGUAUCAGGGACAAACGAUCGUAGGAUUUCACGAAUGCAUGAAAGCACGUCGAGGAGUACACUCCGGAGGGACAUCGCCGCAAUGCAGCUUUAUCUAUACCGGGCUGUUCCGCACCAUACGGGCCAUUGCUCGAUUUACGAUUCCAGAAAACAUAUGUUCACAAAGCUCGAUCUACUCAUCGUGUACCAUAAUGCGGCUCUUUAACUACCACGAUCUCGUUUAAACAGCUAAAUAACGAACAUACGAAGUAUUAUCCACGCCAUGAACAACGGGGAUGAGAAGAAUGUCUGAUGCGCGAGAUGAAUGAAAAUGAAAAAGGAUAGGAUUUCGAGAGCUUCACAUUGAUUUAAGGAGAGAAACAGUGGAUUGUUCGAAGCAGCUUAGUCGUUCACCCACAUCAAAGAUGUUUUCAUUGCGUUAAUGAAGUGUCCGACGAAUAUUUCAACGAUUUAAUAAAUGAAGAAUAUACCGUGUGGUAACACGAGCGAUUAGGCCUGCUGAUCGAACGCGGUUCCCCUCCGCGAUCACUUCGAAACACGUGUCUGAUCACGAACGGUUCUUUACGCCGUUACUACUUAAACUUUCGGUCGUACACACCGAACGUAGCGCAGUUGCUUGCACUGGCUGGCCCGUUCGACUUGCGUUACUCUUCCAACAUGUGAUCCGAUUAGCGCGUACGCAUGCGUACCGCGCGAUCAAUACAGUUUUACUUACCUUUCUUACGUAGCUCGAAAUGGUCGGUACAACAGAUGCGAAGUGCUUAUUCUGUUGGUAACAGACGGCAAUGCACCGACUAAUGGUAUCGAGUUUGAAAAUAAUAUUUUACCGAUUACCGGAGGUGGUAAAUUAUUAUAAAGCGCGAAGAGAGAGAGAGAGCACUGUUCUUGUGGAAAGAUUGAUACAUUUUCUUCCAAGCUACUUAUCUUAAAGCGCAGGCCUGGUUACAUUUUGACUGAUUAUCAAUAGAAUUUUAGUCAUAACGUUGAACAAUUCGUUUGAUAGUGAAAUCUAAUUUUCAGAAUAAAUAUUUAUGGACUUCUAGCAUUCGCAAUUUGGAAAAUUAAAGACAGGUUCGUAUCUUCGAAAUUGGUAAUAGAAGAAGGAUGAUUUCCUUUGUGGAUUUCGGUUGCGGGUUGGUUUCUUCGUUAAGUAAUUCUACGAGUAAUGUAGUAUUCUCUGCGAUACAGUGGAUACAGAUGCAAGAAAACGACUGUUGGUAAUUAUUGGCUGGCCAAACUGUGCGGGAUUUUCUAUUUGUUACAAGUACGUCAAAAACCGAUACGCAGCCGAUGUUUCUCCUUCGCUUGCUAUUAACUAGCACGAGGAACUUCAACGUUGCGAUGGCUCGGUUCUAGCCAUAUCCAUUCAUCUCCGCGCGAUGUCAUCUGGGAUCCAUGGGAUUACUCUCGAGAGACGAAAGAGCCAAUUGUACCAUAUAAAAGUCAUCUUCCAUUGGAUAGGGUUUUAUAGGGUUUCAUUCGCCUCUAGCCACGCCGAUAAAGUAAGAUUUAAGAAGAUCAGAAGAGAUCAAGAUUAUCUGCUUUUUCUUUUUCUACGCGGAGGAUACCUUUAAGAGAUACGGUGGACCUCUUGGGGAGGUCGAGUGAACUAAUUAAAAGAUAAUGAUGCUUUUCAUCUUGCUCAUUAUCCUCCGGUAGUUAACUCGGUGGAACUCCAGUUCGAAUAUAACAGGUGCAAGAGUCUCUAUACAAAAUAUAAAUUUCGUCCACGAUUUUGUACAGAAAAUAGCGUUCGCAAAUAGCGUGUUACUCUUUUACACUUUGAUGAAUAUUCUUGACAACGACUGGCAAAGUUUUGCAGAAAGUUGUUAAUUUACCGAUACGGUCGCCAUCCUCGUAUUUGCAUAUUUUACUAGCGAAACCGACAAAAAAAGAAUUUCCGCGUUGUCGGCGUGGCCGAUAGUGGAGUAAAAAAAAAAAAAAAAAAAAAGUCAAGGCGAAAAGGUUCUCAUGGGCUGAAUAACUAAUUACGAUGAGUAAUCGAGUAUUUUUUAUUUCUCGGUGAAUUUAUGCAGAAUACAGUACUAAUUAUACACGACGUGUAUUUAUACUUUAUAUUUUGUAUUUAUAUUAAUAUAUAUUCUCCCGUACCAUAUCUUUGUUUCACUUAGACGUUAUUACUUAAUUACAUCACAUCAAACGGACACGGUGCUGUAUGGUUUCUUUUAUCGAUUAUGUACACAUCUGUUGCGGUUAAUUGUGCCGAUUAAACGAACGUUGAACGGAGGAACGACGAACGAAAAAACUGGAGGAAAGAAUAAAAAGCGUACAAUAUUCGUUCGAUUCCCAUAUUUUCUCCUCAUAAUGUAUGUUUAAUCGAUUGUAUUAUCGAUUAUAUAACGUUUCUUUAUGAAAACCAAUGGAAAUCGAACUUUUGCACACUUUGGGGCUUAAGUGGUGCUCUUUUAUGCGCACAUCCGGUGUACGUGUACAUUGUAUGUAUGCGUGUGAGUGUUUAUGUACGUGUAUCUUUGAGUUAGCUUAUCUUAUGAAUUACGAUUAUUGGUCGAAUAUUGUUGUUCCAAGCCUCUUUACCGUGCAAUAUCGAUCCUUCUCUCGCGACCUCCUGUACACGAGCCACGUGUCGCGUUCAGGCUAUUAUAUUUUUUUCUUCUCUGUUUUCUUUACGCUUCUUUUUAUAUUUUAUUUACUAGGUACACCUAGAGCAAAGCGUUACAAUAGGUUAUACGUAUCAAGUACGCGUUACGCGGCUCUUAGUUUUAUGUUUUGAAUCGUAAGGUGGCCUUGAUACGUAUUUGUUUUCACUGUUCUACUAGGAAAGGCCAGUAUUUGUUUGAAAAAAGUUAGACGAUUAAGGUGAGACUGAGCGACGCGAGCGAAUACGCGAAUACGAAUGACGUUGAAGAGGACUCGUUUUAACGAGAGUUCGAAGAGCUCGAUAGAGAAACGUGCAUGAAAUAACUUGACGAAAGAACGAGAUGGAUUUUUGUAGGAUAAAUUUAGGCGGGAAGUCUUAACGCGGAGAUAUGGCUGUAUCACGGUGAAAUAAGUUGAUCUGAACUGGAAGAAAGUAUUGAGAAAUUCUUAGCAGGUGGUAUCAUAAUUUAUGAAACUAAGUAGAUAUGGAAUGUUCAGCUGCGGUAAGUAAAUAAAUAAUUUUGUAAAAUUAUGCUGGAAUUUUAGAAUUGAUUGCUAGAAAUUGAAACAGCUGUUAGCGAAACGUACAUCGUAUUCGUCAUAAUGUAAAUUCAAUUUCAUCGAAGAUUUGAUUCAAGAUUUAGAUAAUAAAUAUUCGAAGUAUAAUCGACGAAUCGAGUUUGAAAUUGUAACCAACGAAAUAUUAAUUUCGUUACAAAUUUUCUUAUUAAAACGCAUUAACCUUCUAAACAUUACGCACCUUUCAGAGAAAACAAAAUACAAUGGCUGUUAAUGUUCGAUAGAAUUAAUUCCCCUUACGAUAAUUUCUGUAUCGAGCUCUCUCCAUCUUAAACUACGUGUCUUACCAUUAUUAUUCAAUUUUGUACGAUCAUAAUUUGUUUACCGUGGUACUACGAUCAACCAAAAAUCAAAAACAUCGAGUAGACAGCAUACAAUGCGUACCUACUUAACAUAGCGUUUUCGCUCGCGCGUUUCCUAUUGAAAUAUUCUCUUGGUACGAGCAUGGUUCCAAAUGUACUGUCUCUUUUUUGUUUUUUUUUUUCUUUUUUGUUUCUCUUUAAAUUCUAUCACGCGUUUUGGCCCCUCGUCCGCUGCAGUAAGGAAAAUGAACUUUCGUGCUGAGCACGUAACGCAAAAGUGGCAAGUGCGUGGUCGCGUUCGCGUCGCGACGAAUGCGAGCAUGCAAACACAUUAAAAUCGCUGGAGCAGCGUGCUUGGCUUUCGAAACGACCAGCUGCAACGAAUUCGAACCUCGUGCACAGUCUUACUUGGGAAAUCGCCCUAAAGAAAAAAACACGCGAAUAUUCCUUUGUUGCGUUGCGAACAGGCAACUGAUCUCGCCCACGAUUUGUUCCACGUAUGUACAAUUAACUUACUCGCACAUGAAGGAGAUACGGGUCGUGUUCCUGGAACAUGUUACAUUUCUUUCUUUUGACGGCCAUUAGUUUUAAUUGCCUGGAUGAGAUUUAAAUCUUUCGUUUCUUUUUACCCAUACGGUCAUAAGAGAAAACUUUAUGAAAAAGCUUCGAGAAAGUUUUUAAAUUAAAGCGUUUUCGCUUGGCUUGAAAUAUAUUUAUAGUGGGAUAUAUAUAGUUCGUAAGACUUCAUCGUUUAUCAUCACGUUCGAAUAGAAAGGGAUCGAAAUUUUCAAUUCAAUCGUAACGUGCACUAGUUCAACUAUCUUAGAUGCAAUUCUGUACAAGCACUUUCAGUUGUAAAUUUCAAAAAUCAUUUGUAGAAUUGUAAAGCAGGUACAUUUUCAGAAAUUACGUACGAUUAGUUCCAUAUCGUCGAAUUCGAUUAUUUUUCAUUGGUACAAGCUAUCUUGAAUAAUUUAGAUCAUAGUAUCCGAGAAAUUCAGCAGAAUGCGAUGCGAUAUCUCAUCCGUACCAAGCAGCAUCAAAUUCUACGCCAAUGAAACACGACACGUACGCGAAGGAGAGAAAUCAAAUAAAUACAGGACGGAUAUGUUUAAUCUUCGAGCGAAAGACUUUGUCCUAUGCAUUCUCUAUGUUCCUUACAAAUGUACGCGCGCUAAAGGUUCCUCCGUUUAUUAAAUCCUAUAAUGCAGUUCACAUCGCAUUACGUCGUUCUCGACGAACGUUGUGAGCCUCGAUUUCAAAGGAUUCUUCUCUUCGCUUAUCGUUCAAUCGAUCAAAGUUAACAGGAUAAAACGAUGCGAUUCCCCGAUAUGUUCGAUCGAACGUACAAACUAGACGCGUUCGUAAUUACCAGUUCGCGUUUCUCGCGACAUUGCGCUUGAAAUGUGCAGAAACACACCUACUCCGUCCCUUUCUCGUUUAUGUAUGUAUGUACAUGUACACGAAACAUAGCACACGUUAAGUAAACGCUAGUGAUAUCCCUUUUACAUUACAUUUACAUACAUUAAAGCUGCACCUUUACGUGUAUACGAAUACACAUCUAAUGUAAGUAUGUACAACGACGUUACACCCCUAUGAAUCUAACUCACACAGCUAGAUUUAAGUCCGAUUCUUCCUGAUUCGAUGCUCGUCCGUUCUCGUUUCGUUCGUUUCCUUCAAUCGCCGAUUUCUACUCGUUACGCUUCUUUUAUCCGAUUAUCGCGUUUAAAAAUCGGUUCUCUCAUCCAAUUUCAUCGAUUCUCUUAUUUUUCGUUAAGCGUCGGUCGCUUUAUUUAUUAUUUACCCAUUAGACGUCACGUGGUUCGAAAUGGUGUUCGAUUUUUCAGUCGUUUAUAUCGUGUAAAUUUUACUAGGACUUGUAUUUUUUCUUUUUUUUU